CGGGUGAGUAACACGUGAGUGACCUGCCUUUUAGACUGGAACAACUUACCGAAAGGUGAGCUAAUGCCGGAUGAGUUAUAUAAGUGCAUGUUUAUAUAGGAAAGUUGGGGAGACCUGACGCUGAAAGAUGGACUCGCGUCCCAUUAGCUAGUUGGUAGGGUAAUGGCCUACCAAGGCGACGAUGGGUAGCCGGCCUGAGAGGGUGGCCGGCCACACUGGGACUGGGACACGGCCCAGACUCCUACGGGAGGCAGCAG
rnacentral:rRNA from 1 species